AUACGUAGGUGGCAAGCGUUGUCCGGAAUUACUGGGCGUAAAGCGUGCGCAGGCGGUUCGGAAAGAAGGAUGUGAAAUCCCAGGGCUCAACCUUGGAACUGCAUUCUUAACUACCGAACUAGAGUAUGUCAGAGGGGGGUAGAAUUCCGCGUGUAGCAGUGAAAUGCGUAGAUAUGCGGAGGAAUACCGAUGGCGAAGGCAGCCCCCUGGGAUAAUACUGACGCUCAUGCACGAAAGCGUGGGUAGCAAACAGGAUUAGAUACCCUGGUAGUCCACGCCCUAAACGAUGUCAACUAGCUGUUGGGCCCUUCGGGGCUUAGUAGCGUAGCUAACGCGUGAAGUUGACCGCCUGGGGAGUACGGUCGCAAGAUUAAAACUCAAAGGAAUUGACGGGG
rnacentral:rRNA from 1 species